rnacentral:misc_RNA from 1 species
CUCGAUGAAAUAAUGAGAGACUAAAAAGAAUCAAUCAUCAGAGACUUAAAUACCAUGAAUCAUGGAAAGAAUCCAUCAUAUUGUUGCAGUUUUUUCUCAUCAUUUGAUUGACGAUCCUUUCUUCUAUAAAGGGAGGCCAAACGCAAAAGAUAAGAGAAAGAGAAUUGACAGAGAAGAGAGUAAUUUGAAAGCGAAGAACCCCCCUUCACCCUCAGUAGACUGCCGUGCGGUGCGCUGAAUCUCCUUCUGGCUCG